ensembl:lincRNA
CUCCAACAGGGUGCCUUUGUUGCUCAGCCCACCGCUCUCAACUUCUUGUGGGAGGCAGCAUGUGAGCCAGGCAAAGCUGGAGUGCCAGAGUGCUAGAAUCAGCUGGCUGCUUCGGUGCCAGCGGGAUCAAACUCCACUCACUCAGAUCUGCUGCAUUCCACCCCUCACAGGAGUGACCACACAGACUGCAGCAGAGUGUCUGCAUUAGAAACCUCCACAUGAAGGGCUUUUCAACAACAUAUGGCAAAUUCUAGAGGAAUGAUUUUCAGGAAAUUUCAGCAGUGCAUCUCCACAGUGACUGCUCUGUCAUUCAGU